GAUGAACGCUGGCGGCGUGCCUAACACAUGCAAGUCGAACGGAAACACAGUGAGCGUUUGCCCUUACGGUUGGCGGGUGGCGGACGGGUGACGAGUGCAUCAGCUUCUUCUUUUUCGUGGGGAAUAACGUAGGGCAGGUUAUGCUACUACAGCAUAUGAUGUACCGGUGGGAGCAGUGGAUAUUCGGACCUUGCGUGACUGUAUUAGCCGAUGCCGGAUUAGCUAGUUGGGGGGGUAAAGGCACACCAAGGCGACGAUACGUAGCUGGACUGAGAGGAUGAUCAGCCACACUGGAACUGAGACACGGUCCAGACUCCUACGGGAGGCAGCAGUGGGGAAUAUUGGACAAAGGGCGCAAGCCUGACCCAGCCAUACCGCGUGAGUGAAGAAGGCCUUCGGGUUGUAAAGCCCUUUUAUUGGGAAAGAACAGCUGUGGGUUAAUACCCCGCUGUUCUGACGGUACCCAAUGAAUAAGCACCGGCUAACUUCGUG
rnacentral:rRNA from 1 species